rnacentral:lncRNA from 1 species
AUCCAGCACAAAUAGGAGCUUUAUUCUUUAAAAUAUAAAGCGCAUCAUGCGCAGAGUUUACAGAAUAACCCUGUCAUAUUAAACGAGAAACAAAAAUCAAAUUCCACUUCAUCUGGGGGACAUAAUAACAGUUUUUAAGAAUUAAACGCCUACCACUAUUGAAAUAAAAGUAAAUUACUCCUACUGCUCUUGCUGAUACUAUAGCUCCUGUGCCGAUAGUAAUUUUAAACUGGCCUUUCUGAGCCUUCUGCUCUCCUGAAGCACCUGCAUAGACAUGUAUAUAUGAUUAGUGGCUCUAGAGUCUACAACCCAUAAAUUUGUAGAAUCAACCACCAAACAUGACUCAGCAAUAAAGAACUCACCAACACCCAACUUUUUAGGUUGUGCAUCAGGGCAGUCUUUCUUCCAGUGUCUUUUACGACCAUAGUGGAAACACUUGCCUUUCGGCGUUCCAUCUGAUUUGGGCUUUUUGUUGCUUUCUGGCUUCUUGUUUAGAUCUUUUCCUCUUCUUUCCAAUUUCGCCUUUCGGCUUGGAGCCAGAGGAGCUAGCAAUUACCGUAUGAGCAUGGCCACCCUUACCCUUGAGACUACUUUACACAUUUUGCAACUCAUUCACCAACUCAGUUAAUGACAUAUUCAUCUUGUGCAAGUGAUAGUCUACAGUAAACUGUGAAAAUAUAUCAGAUAAAGAAUUCAAUACCAUAUCAACUUGAAUUUCCUGAUCAAUAGUUGCACCCAGAUUCUCCGCCACGUGGAAGUGUACAAUCAUAGUCAACAUAUGAUCCUUCAUAGGCGUUUCGGGUUUCAUGCGGAUGUUCUGUAAGGUACGAAUGGCUUCAAAACGAGCCCUCCUACUUUGAUGUCCAAACAUGCCCUUCAGGCUUUCUAGUAGGUCAUAAAAGGUCUCCUGACUUUCAAGCUUUUGCCGUAAUACGUUUGACAUGGAUGCUAAAAUGUAACAGCGAAC